AUUGAACGCUGGCGGCAGGCCUAACACAUGCAAGUCGAGCGGUAGAGAGAAGCUUGCUUCUCUUGAGAGCGGCGGACGGGUGAGUAAUGCCUAGGAAUCUGCCUGGUAGUGGGGGAUAACGUUCGGAAACGGACGCUAAUACCGCAUACGUCCUACGGGAGAAAGCAGGGGACCUUCGGGCCUUGCGCUAUCAGAUGAGCCUAGGUCGGAUUAGCUAGUUGGUGGGGUAAUGGCUCACCAAGGCGACGAUCCGUAACUGGUCUGAGAGGAUGAUCAGUCACACUGGAACUGAGACACGGUCCAGACUCCUACGGGAGGCAGCAGUGGGGAAUAUUGGACAAAGGGCGAAAGCCUGAUCCAGCCAUGCCGCGUGCGUGAAGAAGGUCUUCGGAUUGUAAAGCACUUUAAGUUGGGAGGAAGGGCAGUAAAUUAAUACUUUGCUGUUUUGACGUUACCGACAGAAUAAGCACCGGCUAACUCUGUG
rnacentral:rRNA from 1 species